rnacentral:rRNA from 1 species
UAGGGAAUCUUCCGCAAUGGACGAAAGUCUGACGGAGCAACGCCGCGUGAGUGAAGAAGGAUUUCGGUUCGUAAAACUCUGUUGUUAGGGAAGAAAAAAUGUAUAGUAACUAUAUACAAAAGAGACGGUACCUAACCAGAAAGCCACGGCUAACUACGUGCCAGCAGCCGCGGUAAUACGUAGGUGGCAAGCGUUGUCCGGAAUUAUUGGGCGUAAAGCGCGCGCAGGUGGUUUAGAAAGUCUGAUGUGAAAGCCCACGGCUCAACCGUGGAGGGUCAUUGGAAACUAAUAAACUUGAGUGCAGGAGAGAAGAGUGGAAUUCCUCGUGUAGCGGUGAAAUGCGUAGAGAUUAGGAGGAACACCGGUGGCGAAAGCGGCUUUUUGGCCUGCAACUGACACUGAGGCGCGAAAGCGUGGGGAGCAAACAGG